UUUUGGUCCUCUCGCAACACUAGAUUGUGAACCCCGUCAGGUCCGGAAGGAAGCAGCGGUAGUGAUUGAUGUGUGUGCCGGGAUUCGGCUGAAGAAG
rnacentral:SRP_RNA from 1 species